rnacentral:lncRNA from 1 species
UCGCCAACUCUUCUUCGGGAGUUAUCCCUCAUUUCAGUCAUCUGAAGAUCAUAUUGAUGACUCCCACAGUCGGCUGAAUAUUUACAGCUUCCUCAAUCAGCUGGAGGUUGAGUCGAUGGAUCCCUCUGAUAUUUUUUGAGAUAGCCUCAUCGUAUCAGGGCCUCUAUUUCAUCCUUGAGCUGGAUGCAUUAUUCGGUGUCGUGGCC